GGUCAAGCAAAAGAAGGGCGUACGGUGGAUGCCUUGGCGCCAAGAGGCCGAUGAAGGGCGUAGCAAGCUGCGAUAUUCCCCGGUGAGCUGCAAGCGAGCGUUGACCCGGGGGAUCCCGAAUGGGGAAACCCGGCGCGGUUUACCGCGUCAUCCUGUACUGAAUCCAUAGGUGCAGGAGGGUAAGUGGGGGAACUGAAACAUCUCAGUACCCUGAGGAAAAGAAAGCAACAUGCGAUUCCCUAAGUAGUGGCGAGCGAAAGGGGAACAGCCCAAACCAGUUGAGUGUUAAAGCCUGCAGGCGUUGCUCAACUGGGGUUGCAAGGUGUUGUGUCUCUGCGCUGCAGCGCAGGGGGAGAGUUACAAAAUAGGGGCUUAGUCGAAGGGCUCUGGAAAGGCCCACCAUAGAAGGUGAAAGUCCUGUAGGCGAAAAGCCUCCUAUCUCUCUAACAACAUCCUUGAGUACUGCGGGAGUUAACCCGCAGGAAUCCGGGAGAACCAUCUCCUAAGGCUAAAUACCUCUGGCGACCGAUAGCGAACAAAGUACCGCGAGGGAAAGGUGAAAAGAACCCCGGGAGGGGAGUGAAAUAGAACCUGAAACCGUAUGCCUACAAGCGGUGGAAGGACUAUGUAAAACUUGCUUCGGCGGGUUUUACAGUCUGACCGCAUGCCUAUUGAAGAAUGAGCCGGCGAGUUAUGGUGCGUGGCGUAGGUUAAGGAGUGACAUCCGGAGCCGUAGCGAAAGCGAGUCCGAAUAGGGCGCCGUCCUUCGGGACAAGUCGCGUACCAUAGACCCGAAACCGGGUGAUCUACCCAUGGCCAGGGUGAAACGGAACUAACCUUCCGUGGAGGCCCGAACCUGUGGGGGGUUAAAACUCCUAGGAUGAGCUGUGGGUAGCGGAGAAAUUCCAAUCGAACCCGGAGAUAGCUGGUUCUCCCCGAAAUGCAUUUAGGUGCAGCUUCAGGUUACUAGCGGGCGGUGGUAGAGCACUGAAUGGGCUAGGGGUCACACCAGGCUACCAAACCCAAUCAAACUCCGAAUGCCGCCUUGCCGUACCCUGGAAGUGAGACGGCGGGGGCUAAGCUUCGUCGUCAAAAGGGAAACAACCCAGAUUGCCAGCUAAGGUCCCUAAAUUCAGGCUAAGUGUCUAUUAAGGAGGUGAGGGCGCUUAGACAGCCAGGAUGUUGGCUCAGAAGCAGCCAUCAUUUAAAGAGUGCGUAACAGCUCACUGGUCAAGCGCUCUUGCGCCGACAAUGUUCGGGACUCAAGCCUGAUACCGAAGCUGCAGGUGUCGAACUUCGGUUCGACGCGGUAGGGGAGCGUUCCAUCUGGGGUGAAGGUAGACCGUAAGGACUACUGGACUGGAUGGAAGUGAGAAUGCCGGCAUAAGUAGCGAAAAGCAAGGUGAGAAUCCUUGCCGCCGCAAGCCUAAGGUUUCCUGGGGAAGGUUCGUCCGCCCAGGGUAAGCCGGGCCUAAGCCGAGGCCGAAAGGCGUAGGUGAUGGAUAAAUCGGUUAAUAUUCCGAUGCCACAUAUUCCCCGUAAAAAGCGAUGGGGGGACGCGGAGAGGUAAACGGAGCCGGUUAAUGGUUGUACCGGUCUAAGCCCGUAGGGUGGCUCCUAGGUAAAUCCGGGAGCCGUUAAGCCUGAGAGGUGAAUGGGAGCUGCAGCUUCGGCUGUGGCGAACUCCGUCCAACUAGCCGCCUGGAAAAGCCCCUAGCAUUGGGGGAUAUGUGUCCGUACCGCAAACCGACACAGGUAGGCGGGCAGAUUUCUGCCAAGGCGCGCGGAAGAACCCUGGUUAAGGAACUCGGCAAUCUAGCCCCGUAACUUCGGGAGAAGGGGUGCCCCUCCAACCCAAGAAAUUCACUUUCACGGGAGGGAGGGGUCGCAGCGAACAGGCUCAAGCGACUGUUUACCAAAAACACAGGUCUCUGCUAAGCCGAAAGGCGAUGUAUAGGGGCCGACGCCUGCCCAGUGCAGGAAGGUUAAGAGGAGGGGUUAGCCGCAAGGCGAAGCUCUGAAUCUAAGCCCCUGUGAACGGCGGCCGUAACUAUAACGGUCCUAAGGUGACUGACGUUGCCUUCUCGUCCGGUAACGGAUGAGUUCAUAUCCGGCUGUAUGCGGGAACACCCUUAGAGCCCAGUGCUACUCAGUGAAAUUUCUGAGUAAAAAUGCCUGGGAUUGGGCAAUCCGCAGGAAAUCCGUAAGGAGAUCCUCAGAGACUAUACGCCGGAUAUCCAGCCUUGCGCUUUCUCCAAAAGGAGGUCGCAAUGGAUCUUACUUACGAUUGGGUUGUGGGCUUUACGGAUGGCGAAGGGUGCUUUUACGUGGGAAUCAACAAGCAUCCUGAGAUGUCCGCUGGGUACCAGGUUCUGCCAGAGUUUCGGAUCGUUCAGCACAAGAGGGAUAUCCAAAUCCUCUAUGCCUUAAAACGGUUUUUUCAGGCUGGCGUUGUUCGCCAGAACAACGAAGACCGUUAUGAGCUGAGAAUCCGAAAGCUGGAAUCCUUAGAAAAAGUGGUGGACUUUUUCGAAAAGCAUCCCCUGAAGACCAAGAAAAAUGUAGAUUUUCAGCAUUUUUCCCGGGUAAUCAGGUGGAUGAAGGAGGGAAAACACUUGAGCAAGGAGGGAUUAAUUCAAAUUGCCCAACUUGUGAGGGAAAUGAACACUGGAAAUAAACCCCAAGCGGAAGCCAUCCUCCAAGAGCUUCAAUCCACUGGAUAAAGAUAUAGUCCAUCCCUGUUUGAAAGAACAGGAAGAAGAUGAGCGAAAUUCCUUGUCGGGUAAGUUCCGACCCGCAUGAAUGGCGUAACGACUUGAGCGCUGUCUCGACCAGGGAUCCGGCGAAAUUGCAGUGCCCGUGAAGAUGCGGGCUACCCGCGACAGGACGGAAAGACCCCGUGGAGCUUUACUGUACCCUGACAUUGGAUUUUGGCACACCUUGUGCAGGAUAGGUGGGAGGCUGAGAAACCGGGACGCCAGUUUCGGUGGAGCCGACCUUGAGAUACCACCCUUGGUAUGCUGGGAUUCUAACCUCGAGCCGUAAUCCGGCAGGGGGACAGUGUCAGGCGGGCAGUUUGACUGGGGCGGUCGCCUCCCAAAAGGUAACGGAGGCGCCCAAAGGUUCCCUCAGGCUGGUUGGCAAUCAGCUGUUGAGUGCAAAGGCAUAAGGGAGCCUGACUGCGAGACCUACAAGUCGAGCAGAGGCGAAAGCCGGGCUUAGUGAUCCUCGGAUCCCGUGUGGAAGGGUCCGGGCUUAACGGAUAAAAGCUACCCCGGGGAUAACAGGCUGAUCCUUCCCAAGAGUCCACAUCGACGGGAGGGUUUGGCACCUCGAUGUCGGCUCGUCGUAUCCUGGGGCUGGAGAAGGUCCCAAGGGUUGGGCUGUUCGCCCAUUAAAACGGCACGCGAGCUGGGUUCAGAACGUCGUGAGACAGUUCGGUCCUAAUCCGUCGCGGGCGCAAGGAAACUUGAGGAGUGCUGUCCCUAGUAUGAGAAGACCGGGAUAGACAGGCCUCUAGUGUACCGGUUGUCACGCCAGUGGCAGAAGCCGGGUAGCUAUGCCUGGUGGAAUAAGCGCUGAAAGCAUCUAAGCGCGAAGUCCUCUCCAAGAUCAGGUUUCCCUCACCGUCAUGGUGGUAAGGCCCCUGGUAGACUACCAGGUUGAUAGGCUGGAGGUGUAAGCCCAGCAAUGGGUUGAGCUGACCAGUACUAAUAGGCCGAGCGGCUUGACCUA
rnacentral:rRNA from 1 species